CCCAAAGUGGUGCAAUGGCAGCACGUCCGGGUUGACACACGGUCCCCUAUAUGCGUGGCUGUGCCUUCGGGGCAGGGAAAUCCGGGUUCGAUUCCUGGCUUUGGGA